ensembl:misc_RNA Metazoa_SRP Metazoan signal recognition particle RNA
GCCGGGCAUGGUGGUGCAUGCCUGUAGUCCCAGCUACUCAGGAGGCUGAGGCAGGAGAAUCGCUUGAACCCGAGAGGCAGAGGUUGCAGUGAACAGAGAUUGUGCCACUGCACUCCAGCCUGGGUGACAGAGCGAGACUCUGUCUCAA